GAGCAGAUGAUGAAAGAUAUUAGUAUGUUAUAUACUGAUCCAUGAUGUUUCAAAAUCGAGCUUUUUAAAACUGAUGCUCA
rnacentral:snoRNA from 1 species